GCCUUCGUAGUGUAAUGGUCAGCACGUUCGACGCGCAUUCGAGAGGUCCGUGGUUCGAGUCCCGGCGCGAGCA
rnacentral:tRNA from 1 species